rnacentral:misc_RNA from 1 species
GGAGAGGAAGUUGAGCAGAGGCGUCGCGCCAUGGGGAGGGGAUAGCAGAGCUGCUGCAAUCCAUGGACAGGGAGCCAACUGCGCUGCAUGGAAGAGGAACAGGGAGGGCGUGGAUGGAGGAAAGGGGCGAGUUGCUCGUGGCCAUGGGGGAGAAGAAAGGGGCGCCGUCGAGGGAGCUUCAACAGUGGAGCGCUCGACUGCUGGACUGCUCGCCGUGGACAGCAAAGGAAGGCAGAUGCAGUGGAGAAGGGCGCUCAAGACUGCUGGCCGGAGCUAGAGCUCGGUUUGGAGGUGAGGGCGCAGGGAACUUGGAACGGCUGCGCAGGGGAGGGACGCUGUCCAUGGGAGGGAGCCCCCAGCUUGGAGGAA